ACUCAAAUGAAUUGACGGGGGCCCGCACAAGCGGUGGAGCAUGUGGUUCAAUUCGACGCAACGCGAAGAACCUUACCCAGGCUUGACAUGCACUGGACCGGCGUGGAAACACGCCUUUCCUUCGGGACUGGUGCACAGGUGCUGCAUGGCUGUCGUCAGCUCGUGUCGUGAGAUGUUGGGUUAAGUCCCGCAACGAGCGCAACCCUUGCCCUUAGUUGCUAACGAGUCAAGUCGAGCACUCUAAGGGGACUGCCGGCGGUAAGCCGGAGGAAGGUGGGGAUGACGUCAAGUCCUCAUGGCCCUUACGCCUGGGGCUACACACGUGCUACAAUGGCCGGUACAGAGGGCUGCGAUACCGCGAGGUGGAGCCAAUCCCAAAAAGCCGGCCUCAGUUCGGAUUGCAGUCUGCAACUCGACUGCAUGAAGUCGGAAUCGCUAGUAAUCGCUGAUCAGCAGGCAGCGGUGAAUACGUUCCCGGGCCUUGUACACACCGCCCGU
rnacentral:rRNA from 1 species